CCCUCCGUAGGGGUAACCUGCGGAGGGAUCAUUACAGAGUUAUCCAACUCCCAAACCCAUGUGAACUUAUCUCUUUGUUGCCUCGGCGCAAGCUACCCGGGACCUCGCGCCCCGGGCGGCCCGCCGGCGGACAAACCAAAACUCUUGUUAUCUUAGUUGAUUAUCUGAGUGUCUUAUUUAAUAAGUCAAAACUUUCAACAACGGAUCUCUUGGUUCUGGCAUCGAUGAAGAACGCAGCGAAAUGCGAUAAGUAAUGUGAAUUGCAGAAUUCAGUGAAUCAUCGAAUCUUUGAACGCACAUUGCGCCCAUUAGUAUUCUAGUGGGCAUGCCUGUUCGAGCGUCAUUUCAACCCCUAAGCACAGCUUAUUGUUGGGAACCUACGGCUUCGUAGUUCCUCAAAGACAUUGGCGGAGUGGCAGUGGUCCUCUGAGCGUAGUAAUCUUUUAUCUCGCUUCUGUUAGGUGCUGCCCCCCCGGCCGUAAAACCCCCAAUUUUUUCUGGUUGACCUCGGAUCAGGUAGGAAUACCCGCUGAACUUAAGCAUUAA
rnacentral:rRNA from 1 species